CAGCGCUAAUCCACUCUCCAGAACCCAGAGGGCACACGAAAGCGAGUCCUGGCCAAUCUGAAUCAACGCUGGAACUGUGGCUGGGCACAAGGAGCUCUCUUUACAUGGCUGUUGUUCAGCUGUAGGAUGGAGUCUGGAGAUCGACUUCCUGGCUUUUCAGUGCGUGUAAGCCAAUCAUGUAAGACCCAAGGAGCAGGUCUCGUAGGAUGUGAUGACUCCUGCAGGAGGCAGGUAAGAGGAUAUCUGAGCAGGCAGAUGACAAGGGAUGAGAGUGUUAAUGCUAAAAUAACUGGCAGUGAAAGACAUUUCAGGCAGGUGGUCCUACUUGAAUUCCCCCUUCCAAACACAUCUGUGGUGCAGUGUGUCCUAUUCCUGGAGCCAGGCCUGACCUGCCCAGCCUGCCUUGCCCAUCACCCCCAUCUCCAGGCUUUUGCUAGGAGCUCUGGACUCAGAAGCCCAGGCCAGCUUUGGCAUCGCAUUGCCUGGGCACCUCCCUGCUUCCAGGCUGGAGGCCCAAGGAGAGAGGAGGCUAUGGCCCGGGGCUGAGGACAACAGCCGGGGCCCAAGGCUGUUUAUGGAAAAGCCACAGCUCCAUUGUAUAGACCUGUAGACAGAAGGGUAAACUCAGAGGAAAUGAGUUGCCUCCAUGCACACGCUGAUAGCCAGGUGCUCUGUCUACCCCGCCAGGCCCAAACUGGGUUCCCCAAGACAGUGACCAACCUUCCCGGUUUGAUAAGGACUGAAGGGGUUUCAGGACAUCAGCCAACCAGGAUGAGUCUGAUCGCCUAUUCCCAGAGGUUUCCAGAGCGUGCGUUGGGACAGGCAGGAGUGGUAGGGUGGGAGUCCUGGGAUGCCAGGUCGGGAUGGGAAUCCCCCUGCCUCCGGGAAGCAUGGGGUCUGCUCCCAGGGCUGCUUUCCCAGAAGCCAGAGCACCCUCGCCCCUGCAGGGCUUAGAGGGGGAGUACUGAGAAGGAGGGAUGGAAGAAUCUAGGCAUGAGUAUGCAUGCAUAUGUCUGUGUGUGUAGAGAUCUCGUGGGUGUAUGUGUGCGUGCGCGCACGCCUAUGUGUGAGUGGUCGUAUGAGCGGCCAAAUGAGAGGCAAUGCCCGAUGUGAACCUGCUGGGUAUGAAACGUGAGAACUGUGAUAAUCACCUGUGGACUCCGUGGGCCAGGGCUGAGUCCCUGAGGGGGCAGGUGUCUGCGUGUGAGGGGAGGGCAGGGUGGGAGUCCCCUUUGCAUCUAUGAAUCUGCCGUGCAUGUGCGCUGCGGGUGGAAGUGGAGCAGUGGGAGGUGUGUGUGGUGACUUACCUGCUGCCUAUGGGAACUGGUUCUGUGUGGUCAUUCUGUGAGUCUGUGUCGGCUCUGGAGGUUGUGAUGGGAAGUAUCGCUGUCUUCGUGACUCUGGGGCGUAUGGAUGAGCACUGGGUGUGUGCGCAGGGGAGGAACCCGCUGCCUGUGGAAUCCACGUGUGGGUCGAGGGCCUGUGGGCUGGGCAGCAAGUGCCCACAGUGAUGUGAAAAUACGGUGUCAAGUGUGAGCCCAUUGACUGGAUGGACAAAGCUGUCCCUCCACACUUAGGCCCAGCAUUGUCUCCCUCAUUGUCUGCCCUGAGAGCAGCAGGAGUUCCCGUCCCAGGGCUCACAUUGUCCUCAGUUAAUUUCAGUUAAUCCUGGUUAAUAUCCCUGCCUGGGGGAAUUUAAUGUGCUCCUUCGGGCUUCUUCCCCAUUAGACCUUCUCAGAGUUAAGGAAGCAGCAGACUGCUUGGCAGCACAAAGCCCCUGGGCCACAUUUGCCACUGUUUUUUAGAAGGAAAAUUGCUGGCAACACUUCCAUCCUCCGCUUCCAGAGACAGCGGCUUUCCACACAGAUGUGUCUUCAUGCCAAGGCGGACGCCUGGGAGCACCCGACGCUUCCUCGGCAUUGCCAUAAAUCUGGGGAAUGUUAGAAUGAUAGAGCCAUGUGGCCCAAUUGCAAAAGGCAGGGGCGGGGGGAUCUCCCUGAGCCUUUGUGAGAGGCUGAGAGGAAGCAAGGCAGGGAGGAGAUAGGAGGAGGAGGAGGGCAGGCAGGGAAGGAACGUCAGGAAAAAAGAGGAGGCAGGCAGAGGGGGCGCCCUGUCUGGCAACAGAGUGACAUGGCUGAGUGCUGAGCCUCUAGCAAGGGUCUGGAACUAGGACUUGUUGGGAAUGUGCUGUGAGCCUGAGGAAGGAGGGGGACAGGAAAAAGCCCAUAGGAGAGGAGGGGUCCAUAAGCUCUGCCAGGAAGCUACCACCAGGAGAGGAUAGGGGAGGAGUCUCUCUCACCCAUGCCCCUUUUGUGACUCCCAGAUCUUCUCACCUGUGAGUUGUCAGGUUAGAAGUAAAAGCCUCACUGACUUAAGUGAGUCACUUAAACUGCUUUAGACUCCACCAGGCACCAGCCCUACUCAUUCCUGAAUCCCUCAUCCCAGCCAGAGAUGGACCUCAGCAGAGAAAGGGUCUCACCCUUCCUGCCAACCUGAGAGGGUUGGCUAACACUGGGGGCAGACAGUGCUUACUGGACCACACCUUUUAAAACACAAAGCCUGCCAUGGUCGACAGGGCCACUCCCCCAACACAAUUGCCAAGCUGCUGGGCAAAGCGUUGCCAAAUGACUUUCUCCCCAUAAAGUCCGUUGGGGGAAACUCGGAGGAGAUAAAUUUCCUCUCAGUAUGCCAAUGGAUUGACUCAGGCUAGCUUCCCAGUGGUCCAUAAAAUAAUAGCAACAUUUAUUGGGUUCUUGAUUUUGUGCCAAGUGCUAUUAAGUAGACCUUAAGGAGAAACGCUAUUAGCAUCUCCAUUUCUUAGAAGAGAGAGGGCAAGUAACUCUGUCAGCUCACAUAUACUGGGAAACCCCGGGGCCAAGAUUGGAACCCAAGCAGUUUACCACCAGACCCCUGCCACAGGUGACCCUGCCUCUUGAGAAAAAGUAGUUUUUGAUACCGGUGGGAGGGGGGUUAAGGAGAGUCCCCAGGAAGCUGAGCCACAGAGCAGGCACUCUUGGAAGACUUGAGCCCCAGAGUGGGCUCCCUGAGACAGCACCGCCAGGAUUUUGGAAAAGUCAGGUGCAGUAGGAAUAGUCCUAGAGGGAGAGAGCUUGGCCUGUAGAGUUGUAUCUGCAGGAUAGGAGACUAAGGAAGGACCAAAACCCCGGGGGAUGAGGGCUUGGGCCUGGGUUGACUGGCCAGUCAGUGCCUCCAGAGCAGCAGCUGUCCACAGAGCUAACCCAGGUGGACCUCACUGCAGCCUGUCACUGGCGCCCCAAAGGUCCCUCGCUCUGUAGGCAAACCUGGUGUUCCAACAAGUUGCAGAGCCUGCACCCGUCGGGAGAGGGCUCCAGGGCUGGGGACCAAAAAAGCUAUGAUCUCCCAGACAGGUCUUUGGAGGAAGAGCUAGAGAGUCCUUGGGUGAUGAUAGAAAAAAAAAAAAAAAUUCCCAGCACCAUUGUUUUACUUGAGGCUAUCCUGAGAUUCUGCCAUAUUAGUAUACAGAGGCCCUCCUUACACUUUUCCACAGCUGCAUAGUAUUCUGGUGUGUGGACAUCCCAUAAUUUAUUUAGCCAGAUCCGUCUUAGUGAACAUUUAGGUUGUUUCCUGUCAAGUUGUAGGAUAAGUUCCUAGAUAUAGCAGUACCAACUAGAAGAGUGCAGGCCUUUAUCCUUUCACUAGAUGUUGCCACCAAGCCCUCCACAGAACGUUGGGCCAGUUUCUCCUCCCUGACUCGCCAACAGCAUUAGCAAACAUUUUGGUCUUUUGCAAACAGACAGGUGAAAUACGGAGUCUCAGCGUAGCUUGAAUUCUCAUUGCUCUUAUUAGAAGGUGGAUGAGCACCUUUCUACGUUUAAGAGUCAGUGGUAUUUUGUGUGGGGUUUCCAUCUGUCCCUUCAAGGAACUUUAUUAUUUAUUUUGUUUUUCUUUCUUUCUUUUUAGAAAUGGGAGCCAAAUCCAUUGGUGUAGAUGAUGAAAUUCUAGGCAACCAUUAAAAAUGAUGAAUACUAAUAAAAGUAAUUAUAAAAUGCAUGGAGGGCACACUAUGUACCAGGCCCAGUUCUGAGCACUUCUCACAAAACGACUUCUUUAAUCCUCACAGUAUCUUCAUUUGACAUGUGAGGAAAUUGAGGCACAGGGAACUUGCGCAAGGUCACACAGCUAGUAAGAUGCCUGUGACAUAUUGUUAACAGAAAAAAGCGUGUAAGAAAAUAGUACAUGUAACUAAUCUGUGUAACUUUAGAUAUAUACUUUUGUAAAUAGAUACUUCAUUUUAGCACAAUUAGUCUUACGAUACUUUCUAAAAUGUGGAAAAGAAUGUUUAUUUUUCUAAUACUGAUUCGAGUUUUGUUUCCAUAUUGAUUCUUUCCUUACUUGUUGAUUUCACAAGAGAAUAAAUUAUUCCACAUACUUAAAAAAAACUGUAGUAUGACUUCAUUUUUUAAAAUUUAAAAACAGAUGCAUGCAUCCACCCAUGCACACAUGUAUGUACCACAGAAGAUAUGUAUCAGUGGUUCUUUCUAGGUCAUGGUAUUGGAGAUGAAUUUUAUUUAUUGAUUUAUUUAAGACAGGGUUUUGCUCUGUUCCCCUGGCUGGAGUGCAGUGUGCAAUCAUGAUUCACUGCAGCCUUGACCUCCCAGGCUCAAGCAAUCCUCCCACCUCAGCCUCCCGAGUGGCUGAGACUAUAGGUGCAUGCCCCACACCCAGCUAAUUUUUGUAGUUUUUGUGGAGACAGGGUUUCACCAUGUUGUCCAGGCUGGUCUCAAACCCCUGGGCUCAUGCAAUCCAUCCACCUUGGCCUCCCAAAGUGUUGGGAUGACAGGCGUGAGCCAUUGCACCCAACCUCCAUUUUAAUUUACUUUCGUUUUUCCACAG
rnacentral:lncRNA from 1 species